AAAGAAUACAGGCCCUUAGGAUGUUUGC
rnacentral:sRNA from 1 species